CCCCGUCCUUGAAGCGGGCA
rnacentral:misc_RNA from 1 species